UACGUAGGUGGCAAGCGUUGUCCGGAAUUAUUGGGCGUAAAGCGUGCGUAGGUGGUUCGUUGUGUCUGUGGUGAAAGCCCCGGGCUUAACCUGGGAAUGGCCAUGGAAACUGGCGAGCUGGAGUGUGGCAGAGGGGGGUGGAAUUCCGCGUGUAGCAGUGAAAUGCGUAGAGAUGCGGAGGAACACCGAUGGCGAAGGCAGCCCCCUGGGCUAACACUGACGCUGAGGCACGAAAGCGUGGGGAGCAAACAGG
rnacentral:rRNA from 1 species